rnacentral:rRNA from 1 species
AAUGAACGCUGGCGGCAUGGAUUAGGCAUGCAAGUCGUACGCUCACUUCGGUGAGAGUGGCGAAAGGGUGAGUAACGCGUGAGCGAUCUGCCCCCAAGUUCGGGACAACUGUUGGAAACGACAGCUAAUACCGGAUGUGAAUCUAAAGCUGCAUGGCUUUAAAUUUAAAGGUUUACUGCUUGGGGAUGAGCUCGCGUCCCAUUAUGCUAGUUGGUAAGGUAACGGCUUACCAAGGCUAUGACGGGUAGGUGGUCUGAGAGGAUGGUCACCCACACUGGGACUGAGACACUGCCCAG